GGGUUGUGAGGUUAAGCGACUAAGCGUACACGGUGGAUGCCCUGGCAGUCAGAGGCGAUGAAGGACGUGCUAAUCUGCGAUAAGCGUCGGUAAGGUGAUAUGAACCGUUAUAACCGGCGAUUUCCGAAUGGGGAAACCCAGUGUGUUUCGACACACUAUCAUUAACUGAAUCCAUAGGUUAAUGAGGCGAACCGGGGGAACUGAAACAUCUAAGUACCCCGAGGAAAAGAAAUCAACCGAGAUUCCCCCAGUAGCGGCGAGCGAACGGGGAGCAGCCCAGAGCCUGAAUCAGUGUGUGUGUUAGUGGAAGCGUCUGGAAAGGCGCGCGAUACAGGGUGACAGCCCCGUACACAAAAAUGCACAUACUGUGAGCUCGAUGAGUAGGGCGGGACACGUGGUAUCCUGUCUGAAUAUGGGGGGACCAUCCUCCAAGGCUAAAUACUCCUGACUGACCGAUAGUGAACCAGUACCGUGAGGGAAAGGCGAAAAGAACCCCGGCGAGGGGAGUGAAAAAGAACCUGAAACCGUGUACGUACAAGCAGUGGGAGCACGCUUCGGCGUGUGACUGCGUACCUUUUGUAUAAUGGGUCAGCGACUUAUAUUCUGUAGCAAGGUUAACCGAAUAGGGGAGCCGAAGGGAAACCGAGUCUUAACUGGGCGUUAAGUUGCAGGGUAUAGACCCGAAACCCGGUGAUCUAGCCAUGGGCAGGUUGAAGGUUGGGUAACACUAACUGGAGGACCGAACCGACUAAUGUUGAAAAAUUAGCGGAUGACUUGUGGCUGGGGGUGAAAGGCCAAUCAAACCGGGAGAUAGCUGGUUCUCCCCGAAAGCUAUUUAGGUAGCGCCUCGUGAAUUCAUCUCCGGGGGUAGAGCACUGUUUCGGCAAGGGGGUCAUCCCGACUUACCAACCCGAUGCAAACUGCGAAUACCGGAGAAUGUUAUCACGGGAGACACACGGCGGGUGCUAACGUCCGUCGUGAAGAGGGAAACAACCCAGACCGCCAGCUAAGGUCCCAAAGUCAUGGUUAAGUGGGAAACGAUGUGGGAAGGCCCAGACAGCCAGGAUGUUGGCUUAGAAGCAGCCAUCAUUUAAAGAAAGCGUAAUAGCUCACUGGUCGAGUCGGCCUGCGCGGAAGAUGUAACGGGGCUAAACCAUGCACCGAAGCUGCGGCAGCGACACUAUGUGUUGUUGGGUAGGGGAGCGUUCUGUAAGCCUGUGAAGGUGUGCUGUGAGGCAUGCUGGAGGUAUCAGAAGUGCGAAUGCUGACAUAAGUAACGAUAAAGCGGGUGAAAAGCCCGCUCGCCGGAAGACCAAGGGUUCCUGUCCAACGUUAAUCGGGGCAGGGUGAGUCGACCCCUAAGGCGAGGCCGAAAGGCGUAGUCGAUGGGAAACAGGUUAAUAUUCCUGUACUUGGUGUUACUGCGAAGGGGGGACGGAGAAGGCUAUGUUGGCCGGGCGACGGUUGUCCCGGUUUAAGCGUGUAGGCUGGUUUUCCAGGCAAAUCCGGAAAAUCAAGGCUGAGGCGUGAUGACGAGGCACUACGGUGCUGAAGCAACAAAUGCCCUGCUUCCAGGAAAAGCCUCUAAGCAUCAGGUAACAUUAAAUCGUACCCCAAACCGACACAGGUGGUCAGGUAGAGAAUACCAAGGCGCUUGAGAGAACUCGGGUGAAGGAACUAGGCAAAAUGGUGCCGUAACUUCGGGAGAAGGCACGCUGAUAUGUAGGUGAAGUCCCUCGCGGAUGGAGCUGAAAUCAGUCGAAGAUACCAGCUGGCUGCAACUGUUUAUUAAAAACACAGCACUGUGCAAACACGAAAGUGGACGUAUACGGUGUGACGCCUGCCCGGUGCCGGAAGGUUAAUUGAUGGGGUUAGCGGUAACGCGAAGCUCUUGAUCGAAGCCCCGGUAAACGGCGGCCGUAACUAUAACGGUCCUAAGGUAGCGAAAUUCCUUGUCGGGUAAGUUCCGACCUGCACGAAUGGCGUAAUGAUGGCCAGGCUGUCUCCACCCGAGACUCAGUGAAAUUGAACUCGCUGUGAAGAUGCAGUGUACCCGCGGCAAGACGGAAAGACCCCGUGAACCUUUACUAUAGCUUGACACUGAACAUUGAGCCUUGAUGUGUAGGAUAGGUGGGAGGCUUUGAAGUGUGGACGCCAGUCUGCAUGGAGCCGACCUUGAAAUACCACCCUUUAAUGUUUGAUGUUCUAACGUUGACCCGUGAUCCGGGUUGCGGACAGUGUCUGGUGGGUAGUUUGACUGGGGCGGUCUCCUCCUAAAGAGUAACGGAGGAGCACGAAGGUUGGCUAAUCCUGGUCGGACAUCAGGAGGUUAGUGCAAUGGCAUAAGCCAGCUUGACUGCGAGCGUGACGGCGCGAGCAGGUGCGAAAGCAGGUCAUAGUGAUCCGGUGGUUCUGAAUGGAAGGGCCAUCGCUCAACGGAUAAAAGGUACUCCGGGGAUAACAGGCUGAUACCGCCCAAGAGUUCAUAUCGACGGCGGUGUUUGGCACCUCGAUGUCGGCUCAUCACAUCCUGGGGCUGAAGUAGGUCCCAAGGGUAUGGCUGUUCGCCAUUUAAAGUGGUACGCGAGCUGGGUUUAGAACGUCGUGAGACAGUUCGGUCCCUAUCUGCCGUGGGCGCUGGAGAACUGAGGGGGGCUGCUCCUAGUACGAGAGGACCGGAGUGGACGCAUCACUGGUGUUCGGGUUGUCAUGCCAAUGGCACUGCCCGGUAGCUAAAUGCGGAAGAGAUAAGUGCUGAAAGCAUCUAAGCACGAAACUUGCCCCGAGAUGAGUUCUCCCUGACUCCU
rnacentral:rRNA from 1 species